UCUAGGAACAAGGAACUGUGGGAAAUGUUGAUCGGAAGCAUGAUAGAGCCUGCAUUGCUCUGCAGGCCACCUGGAGAGUUCUGGACAGAAUAAACCCUACAGGCCAAUGUACCUGUGACAGCUACCCUCCCACACCAGGCCAGGUCACUGGUGACUUUCCCAAAAAACCUCUUCAAAAAAUCUGGGAGUCUGGAGAUCCCCAAGCUGGGCCUCCCGUUCUGCAGCCUUGGCAAGCCUCACCAUGUCCUUGAGUAAUGCCUGUCCCUGAGAACCAUCACCCCCAAGGUCCACUGAGCCAACCUGAACAGCAGGGGGCAAAGGAGUUAAGGGCCUGGCCCUGCCCUGGCUCUUCCUCUUAACCCCAAGUGCCUAGUUGUCCUGUGAGCUACGCGCCCAUACUGCCUAACUCCCAGAUCCAACACAUACAGUCCCUGGGCUUGUCACACCACAGACGUCCUGGACUCCCAGGACUCAUUUUUUAAGCCAUCUGAGUAUCCACAUUUCUCAGGAAUCAUUCUCAAAAAUCCCCAUUUCUCCCUAAUGAAUGCUCCUGGCAUCUACUGGUGGUCAUGAAAUGGGCCAAGUCACUGAAAGAACCAUUUGUCAACUCUGUCCUGACAACAUCACUGGGGCUGCAGGUAAGUGGCUGCCAGACUCCGGGGUCUGGGGUCUGGCCCAGCUCUGCUGAGGACUCCGGAGGGGACCUUCUCUGUGUAUAUCAGAAGGUAUCUGAGUUUCAGUUCCCACAAAGGCAGAUGCCAAGACAAGGAUUUGCUUCAAGGCGUCUUAUCUGGCAGGUGUUUGGGGGAGGCACAGUGAGUGAGGCAACAGAGGAGGACGGCUUGGGAUCCCAGAGAGCACUCGGGAACCGCAGAGCCUGAAGACAUGACGUGGCUGUGCCCCUGUCUCUUGGCCAGUUAAACUCACAUGAAGAUCCGAGAUAUAACGGUGAAAAGCUCUGACGCAGAGUCAGUGCUCUGGAAACAGCAGUUGCUAUGAUAAUAGUUAUGAGAACCCCUGUGAGGAUUAAAUAACACACUGAGAUAGCCCAGUCCUGCAUCGUCUCA